rnacentral:rRNA from 1 species
UACAGAGGAGCCAAGCGUUGUUCGGAAUCACUGGGCGUAAAGGGUGCGCAGGCCGCGCGGGCAGUCAAAUGUGUAAUUCAGGGGCUCAACCCCUGCACUGCGCUUGAUACUUCCGCGCUAGAACCUUGGAGAGGAGUCUGGAAUUCUCGGUGUAGCAGUGAAAUGCGUGGAUAUCGAGAAGAACACUAAGGGCGUAAGCAAGACUCUGGACAAGCGUUGACGCUCAAGCACGAAGGCUAGGGGAGCGAACGGG